GAAAUGCGAUAAGUAGUGUGAAUUGCAGAAUUCAGUGAAUCAUCGAAUCUUUGAACGCACAUUGCGCCCUUUGGCAUUCCUUAGGGCAUGCCUGUUCGAGCGUCAUCUAAACCCUCAAGCCCUGCUUGGUGUUGGGUGCCUGUCCCGCCCCCGUGCGUGGACUCACCUCAAAUCCAUUGGCGGCCCUCGUGCCGGCCCCGAGCGCAGCAGAAACGCGGUCUCGUGGCCCGGCGGAGCGUGCCCCCAGAAGCAACAUUCACCGUUUUGACCUCGGAUCAGGUAGGGAUACCCGCUGAACUUAA
rnacentral:misc_RNA from 1 species